GAUGAACGCUGGCGGCGUGCCUAAUACAUGCAAGUCGAGCGAACAGACGAGGAGCUUGCUCCUCUGACGUUAGCGGCGGACGGGUGAGUAACACGUGGAUCACCCACCUAUAAGACUGGGAUAACUUCGGGAAACCGGAGCUAAUACCGGAUAAUAUCUUGAAGCGCAUUGUUCAAUAGUGAAAGACGGUUUUGCUGUCUCUUAUAGAUGGAUCCCGGCCGCAUUAGCUAGUUGGUAAGGUAACGGCUUACCAAGGGAACGAUGCGUAACCGACAUGAGAGAGUGAUAGGCCACACGGGAAGGUGAACACGGUCCAGAGUCCUACGGGAGGCACCAGUAGGCUAUCGUCCGCAAUGGGCGGAAGCCUGACAGAGCGACGCCAAGCGUGAGAUGGAGGUGUUCGGAGCGUAAAAAUCUGUUAUUGGGGAAGAACAAAUGUGUACGUAACUAUAGAGGUCGUGACGGUAACUAGUCAAAAAGCAACGGCUAACUACGUG
rnacentral:rRNA from 1 species